AUUGAACGCUGGCGGCAGGCCUAACACAUGCAAGUCGAACGAGUGGCGGACGGGUGAGUAAUGUCUGGGAAACUGCCCGAUGGAGGUGGAUAACUACUGGAAACGGUAGCUAAUACCGCAUACCAUCGGAUGUGCCCAGAUGGGAUUAUCUGGUAGGUGGGGUAACGGCUCACCUAGGCGACGAGCCCGAGCUGGGCUGAGAGGAUGACCGGACACACUGGAACUGAGACACGGUCCAGACUCCUACGUGAGGCAGCAGGGGGGAAUAUUGCACAAGUGGCGCAAGCCUGAUGCAGCCAUGCCGCGUGUAAGCAGAAGGCCUUCGGGUUGUAAAGUACUUUCAGCGAGGAGGCGUUACUCGCAGAAGAAGCACCGGCUAACUCCGUGCCAGCAGCCGCGGUAAUUC
rnacentral:rRNA from 1 species